GACCUCGUAGCUCAGUUCGUAGAGCAUUGGACUGGUAUCUCAAAGGUCGCGGGUUCGAUUCCCACCGUGGUCA
rnacentral:tRNA from 1 species